AUUGAACGCUGGCGGCAGGCCUAACACAUGCAAGUCGAGGGAGAGGUUAUCUUCUGGUACCCAACCUAGGCGCGGGGUGCGUAACGCGUAUACAAACUGCCUUUCACAUAGGGAUACCCCGAAGAAAUUUGAAUUAAUGCCUAAUGGUAUAUCAAAGCGGCAUCGUUUUUAAUUUACAGAUCCUGUGGUGAAAGAUGAGUCUGCGUUCUAUUAGCUAGUUGGAGAGGUAACGGCUCCCCAAGGCGACGAUCUGUAGGGGUUCUGAGAGGGAUGUCCCCCACACUGGGACUGAGAUACGGACCAGACUCCUACGGGAGGCAGCAGUGAGGAAUAUUGGACAAUGGUCGGAAGACUGAUCCAGCCAUGCCGCGUGUGUGAUGAAGUUUAUGGAUUGAAAACUGCUUUUGUAAGGGAAGAAUAAGGAGUACGUGUCCUUUGAUGACGGGACCUUACGAAUAGAAUCGGCUAACUCCAUGCCAGUGCCCGCGGUAAUACAGAGGAUGCGAGGGUAAUCUUGAAUCAUUGUGUUUAAAGGGUCCGUAGGCGUAGGUGAUAAUUUUAGAGGUGAAAGCGCUUAGCUCAACUAAACAACUGCCUUUGAAACUGUACUUCUUGAAUGAUUGUAUAAGUAGUUGAAAUGUGUAGUGUAGCGGUGAAAUGCUUAGCUUUUACAAGAACACCGAUCCCCAAGGCUAAUAACGAAAAAUUUACUGACACUCACGCUCAAAACGUGGGGAGGGGACACG
rnacentral:rRNA from 1 species